rnacentral:rRNA from 1 species
UACGGGGGGGGCAAGCGUUGCUCGGAAUUACUGGGCGUAAAGGGUUCGUAGGUGGCUUGCUAAGUCAGACGUGAAAUCCCUCGGCUUAACCGGGGAACUGCGUCUGAUACUGGAUGGCUUGAGAUUGGGAGAGGGAUGCGGAAUUCCAGGUGUAGCGGUGAAAUGCGUAGAUAUCUGGAGGAACACCGGUGGCGAAGGCGGCAUCCUGGACCAACACUGACGCUGAGGAGCGAAAGCCAGGGGAGCAAGCGGG